AUACGGAGGGUGCGAGCGUUAAUCGGAAUUACUGGGCGUAAAGGGUGCGUAGGUGGUUAGAUAAGUUAUCUGUAAAAGCCCAGGGCUCAACCUUGGAAGGCCAGAUAAAACUGUUUAACUCGAGUAUGGGAGAGGGUAGUGGAAUUUCCGGUGUAGCGGUGAAAUGCGUAGAGAUCGGAAGGAACACCAGUGGCGAAGGCGGCUACCUGGCCUGAUACUGACACUGAAGUACGAAAGCGUGG
rnacentral:rRNA from 1 species